rnacentral:lncRNA from 1 species
GAGGGUUCAAUUAAGGGACGAUAUGUAUAUGAAUCUAGGUAUUAUCAUAUGUUUUCAAUGAUGUAUGAAAUACAUUUUCGAUGUUCCAUUUGUAUGGUAAUGCUCUAUAACCUUAAUCCGGUGAUGGAUAUGGGUUACGGGUGUUACAGUAUGUGCCAAGGACUGUCAUUGAGUUGCAGACAUAACCUUAUUACGGCCUGAAUGACCAACUACAACUGGGGAAGAAGAUUUUUCCAACAGAUGUUCGAACCAUGCAUGUAGG